AACGAACGCUGGCGACAGGCUUAACACAUGCAAGUCGAACGCACCUUUCGGGGUGAGUGGCAGACGGGUGAGUAACGCGUGGGAAUCUACCCUUCUCUACGGGAUAGCUCCGGGAAACUGGAAUUAAUACCGUAUACGUCCUGAGGGAGAAAGAUUUAUCGGGGAAGGAUGAGCCCGCGUUGGAUUAGCUAGUUGGUGGGGUAAAGGCCUACCAAGGCGACGAUCCAUAGCUGGUCUAAGAGGAUGAUCAGCCACAUUGGGACUGAGACACGGCCCAAACUCCUACGGGAGGCAGCAGUGGGGAAUAUUGGACAAUGGGCGCAAGCCUGAUCCAGCCAUGCCGCGUGAGUGAUGAAGGCCCUAGGGUUGUAAAGCUCUUUCAGUGGGGACGAUAAUGACGGUACCCACAGAAGAAGCCCCGGCUAACUUCGUG
rnacentral:rRNA from 1 species